CCUACGGGAGGCAGCAGUGGGGAAUUUUGCGCACUGUGGGAAACCCUGACGCAGCGACGCCGCGUGAAGGAUGACGGUCUUCGGAUUGUAAACUUCUUUUGUCGGGGAAGAUAAUGACGGUACCCGAUGAAUAAGCCACGGCUAACUCUGUGCCAGCAGCCGCGGUAAU
rnacentral:rRNA from 1 species